ensembl:lncRNA
UGACAUUUGACUAAAACUUGAAUGUGUUUUCAGAAGGAAAUGGUUUGGUACAGGUGUGGUCAUCCUGAUCCUCGGCAUAGUUGGAGCUGAGGUUUGAGCCCAACAUCCCAACAUCUCCAUUUAGUUCCGGCGCUGUAGUUCAAGGCUCGCAGUGAACGUCUCCGUGAGCUGUGACCUUCAGCGCCUCUGGUGUCCGUUUCUCCUGAAGCCCGCUGUUGACAUCGCGCUCCGCUCACAAAGCCCGUUAACAUCAAAGCCCCCCAACACACGUUCACAGUUAAUUAACAUCAAUGUUCCCUGAAGAAAUGCCAGGCAGCCUCGGCGCUGGCUGGACAAUAAGCACAUUAUCACCACGCUUGUAGAGGACGGGGAGACGCUGUGGUGGAGGAUGGCUUGCGCCGUCCCCGACCAAUUCUCCUUUUAUAACCUCUGUUUGUCUUUAAGACGAGUCCAAACCACCACAGCAGCUUCAAUGGAAGCGGGCGAGAGCUGCUGCC